rnacentral:ncRNA from 1 species
GAUCCUGGUCUUAUUAUCAGCCGUCUUUUAACUUACACAUGCAAGUAUCCGCACAACCGUGAGAACGCCCUUUAACCUCUUCCCAGGCUAAGGAGCCGGCAUCAGGCACAGAAUUCUAGCCCAUAACGCCUAGUCCACACCACGCCCCCAAGGGCAACCCAGCAGUGAUAAAUAUUGCCUCAUAAGCGCUAGCUUGAAUCAGUUAAAAAGAGUAGGGCCGGCCAAUACGGUGCCAGCCGCCGCGGCUACACCGAUAGGCUCAAGCUGAUAAUCUUCGGCGUUAAGCGUGGUUAAAAAAUAAUCAUAGAGUAGAACAUACAUUUAGUCGUAAUAAGCUUGCUGUCUGGAGCACCAAACAAACUCUAAUAACCUUUUGAACCCACGACAACUAGAUAAACAAACUGGGAUUAGAUACCCCACUAUGCCUAGUCGUAAACAUAUUAACACGCCAGGGGACUACGAGCCUAGCUUAAAACCCAAAGGAUUUGACGGUGUCCCACCCACCUAGAGGAGCCUGUCCCAUAAUCGAUAACCCCCGCUUUACCUUACCACUUCUUACCCAGCCUAUAUACCGCCGUCGCAAGCCCACCAUGUAAAUGCAAGUAGGCUGAAUGAGAUUUUCCUCCAUACGUCAGGUCAAGGUGCAGCUCAUGAAGUGGAGCGAGAUGGGCUACAAUUUCUAUAAUAGAAUAAACGGACAAUUUAAUGAAACCAACUAUUGAAGGUGGAUUUAGUAGUAAAAAGAGACAGAAUACUCUUUUUAAUUUGGCACUGGGACAUGUACACACCGCCCGUCACCCUCUUCAAUAAAUAAGUAAGUCCUAUGACCUAACACUGUAAGAAGAGGUAAGUCGUAACAUGGUAAGCGUACUGGAAAGUGCGCUUGGUUCAACAAAGCAUAGCUUAACUUAAAGCAACUCGCUUACACCGAGAAGAUGUCUAGUAGUAUAGACUGAUUUGAGCCUAAAAUUUAGCCCAACACUCUUAAACUUUCUCCGCUUCCUACAAAAACAUUUUCCCUAUCUAGUAGAGGCGAUCAAAAAACUUUUUGGAGCAAAAGACCUAGUACCGCAAGGGAAUAAUGAAAUAGAAGUGAAAUAACCCCCAAGCCCUAAAAAGCAGAGAUUUUCCCCUCGUACCUUUUGCAUCAUGGUUUGACUAGUAAAAUGGAGCAAAACAUAUUUUUAGUUCAACACCCCGAAACUUAGCGAGCUACUUCGAAAUAGCUUUUUAGAGCCAACCCGUCUCUGUCGCAAAAGAGUGGGAAGAUUUCCAAGUAGAGGCGAUAAACCUACCGAGCCUAGAGAUAGCUGGUUAUUCAGGAAAAGAAUUUUAGUUCUGCUUUAAGACUCCACUGUUACCCCAAACAUCCCACCCAGCUUAAAAGUUAUUCAAAUAAGGCACAGCUUAUUUGAAAUAGGACACAACCUAAAACUUAGGGUAAAACCCCAGCAGCAUAAAAAAGUAGGCCUAAAAGCAGCCACCUUUUUAAAAGCGUCAAAGCUUAUUUACGCAUGCAUAACAAAUUCUCAUAAUUAAUUUAAACCCUAUACCUGUACUGAAUGAUUUUAUAAUUAUAUAAAAUACCCUCUGUUAAAACUAGUAAUAAGAAUUUGAAUUUCUCCUAAAUACAAGCCUAAGCCAGCAUUGACCUCCUGCUGGUACUUAACGCCAAUGACCUCACCGUAGUAACCCCCUUUACAAACCCUACAAAACCCUGCGUCACCCUUACACUAGAGUAUUAUAGGAAAGAUUAAAAGAAAAUGAAGGAACUCGGCAAAUACCAGCCCCGCCUGUUUACCAAAAACAUCGCCUCCUGCUUACUCAUAGGAGGCCCAGCCUGCCCAGUGACAACGUUUAACGGCCUCGGUACCCUAACCGCGCGAAGGUAGCAUAAUCACUUGUUCUUUAAAUAAGGACCUGUAUCAAUGGCAUCACGAGGGCUGAACUGUCUUCCUUUUCUAAUCAAUGAACCUGACCUCUUCGUGAAGAGGCGAAGAUCAAACUAUAAGACGAGAAGACCCCAUGGAGCUUUAAACCAACUAACACCCUCUUUUUAUUUAAUCAUAAAAAACAAGAAACCUGUUAGCUAGUUUUUGGCUGGGGCAUCCAAGGAGUAUAACUAAACCUCCCUGAUUAAACAUUUUAGAGCUACUACUCUAAAUGACAGCAAACUGAAGUAGUAUGACCCGAUUAUCGAUCAACGAACCAAGUUACCCUGGGGAUAACAGCGCAAUCCAUUUCAAGAGUCCAUAUCGACAAAUGGGUUUACGACCUCGAUGUUGGAUCAGGGUACCCCAGUGGUGCAGCCGCUACUAAAGGUU